ACCUUGCGCGCAUGACCUCUUAUAUUAGAUAUUAGAUAUUAGCAACUGCCAUGGCCGGCUAGCUUGGCGCUCUCAUCACACUGCUUGCGCUAGCAUUGCGUAUCUCUUCUUCUUCUUCUUGCCCGGCUUGACUUCGAAAAAAGAUACUUCGUUGAUCUGCCCGGUCACCGCACCCGGGUCGUCCUUGUGCACCGUGCUUAAAUGAUGGCGGAUGGUGAAGCCACGCGCGUGCAAGUCCAAGACCAUCUGCGAUUCUGCAUCGCCGCACAUACGGACACCAGCAUCUGGUACAAAAAAGCUGACGACAAACAAUGUAAUUUAUAAAAAAAAAAAGAUUAUCAAUAUAGGCCAGCAGCCAGCUCAAUAUAAUGACAUUGACAGCUUAGUCAGCAGAGAAAACAGCAAUUAAGAAAUCUUUAAAACACAAAUGUGUGUGUGUGUGAGUGUGUGUGUGUGUGUGUGUGUGUGAGAGAGAGAGAGAGAGAGAGAUGGUCAUGCUUGGCUCCUCGCACGCCAUCCGCAGUAGAGCCAGCAACGUAGUACACGCCCACAGCUAGCCUGGGGGAGCUCGACUGGCCUGGCUGGCAGCUACGCGAGUGGCAUACAGGGAGCCAGGCAUAUCCCCUAGCUUUUCACCUCUUUCCGACCUGCUGCUGCUGCUGCUUCCCAACGCAUGGACGAUGUACGUACACCUACCGUCUCC
rnacentral:lncRNA from 1 species